GACGAACGCUGGCGGCGUGCUUAACACAUGCAAGUCGAACGGAGCGCCAUGGAAUGAGGUUUCGGCCAAAGGAAAUGGUUGCUUAGUGGCGGACUGGUGAGUAACGCGUGAGGAACCUGCCUUUCAGAGGGGGACAACAGUUGGAAACGACUGCUAAUACCGAAUACGCUUGGGAGACCGCAUGAUCUACCAAGGAAAGGGUGGCCUCUACCUGUAAGCUAUCGCCUGAAGAGGGGUUUGCGUCUGAUUAGGCAGUUGGUGAGGUAACGGCCCACCAAACCUACGAUCAGUAGCCGGUCUGAGAGGAUGAACGGCCACACUGGAACUGAGACACGGUCCAGACUCCUACGGGAGGCAGCAGUGGGGAAUCUUCCGCAAUGGGCGAAAGCCUGACGGAGCAACGCCGCGUGAGUGAUGACGGCCUCGGUUGUAA
rnacentral:rRNA from 1 species